rfam:Gossypium arboreum cultivar AKA8401 contig_86641_1, whole genome shotgun sequence.
UGCUAAAAAUUCUAUCUAUGUUUAUUGUUAAAAACUGUCGUGGUUAAUAGGAUAAUUAGAAAGUGACACAUGACGUGCUACUUUGUAUCUCAUACUGAUGUACAUGAACUAAAUUUUAACGAUAGAAUUAAAUGGAAUUUGUAAUA